rnacentral:ncRNA from 1 species
AAACAGGGGUGCUGCAUCAUGCGGCUGAGAAAAACCCUUCGCACCCGAUACAGUUAAUACUGUCGUGGGGAGUUUGCUU